GUGUCAGCAGCCGCGGUAAUACGUAGGGGGCGAGCGUUGUCCGGAUUUACUGGGCGUAAAGCGCGUGUAGGCGGAAGCCUAAGUCCGAUCUGAAAGCCCCCGGCUCAACCGGGGAUCCGGACCGGAAACUGGGCUUCUUGAGGACGGCAGGGGAGUGUGGAAUUCCUGGUGUAGCGGUGAAAUGCGUAGAGAUCAGGAGGAACACCCAUGGCGAAGGCAGCACUCUGGACCGGACCUGACGCUGAGACGCGAAAGCGUGGGGAGCGAACGGGAUUAGAAACCCCUGUAGUCC
rnacentral:rRNA from 1 species